CCUACGGGAGGCAGCAGUGAGGAAUAUUGGUCAAUGGGCGGAAGCCUGAACCAGCCAAGUAGCGUGCAGGAUGAAGGCCCUACGGGUCGUAAACCGCUUUUAUACGGGGAUAACACCCUCCACGUGUAGGGCUCUGCAUGUACCGUGCGAAUAAGGGCCGGCUAAUUCCGUGCCAGCAGCCGCGGUAAUACGGAAGGCCCGGGCGUUAUCCGGAUUCCUUGGGCUUAAAGGGAGCGUAGGCGGCGGUUCAAGUCAGCUGUAAAAUCGCGGGGCGAAACCGGGCCCAGCAGUUGAAACUGGAGGGCUUGAGUCCACAGAAGGCAGGCGGAAUUCGUGGUGUAGCGGGGAAAUGCAUAGAUAUCACGAAGAACCCCGAUUGCGAAGGCAGCCUGCUGGGGCGCGACUGACGCUGAGGCUCGAAGGUGCGGGUAUCGAACAGGAUUAGAUACCCGAGUAGUC
rnacentral:rRNA from 1 species